rnacentral:rRNA from 1 species
GACGAACGCUGGCGGCGUGCCUAAUACAUGCAAGUAGAACGAGCGGCGGACGGGUGAGUAAUGUCUGGGAAACUGCUUGCUGGAGGGGGAUAACUCCUGGAAACGGUAGCUAAUACAGCAUACCAUCUGAUGUGCCCCGAUGGGAUUAGCUAGUAGGUGGGGUAACGGCUCACGUAGGCGACGAUCCCUAGCUGGUCUGAGAGGAUGACCAGCUACACUGUGACUGAGACACGGUCCAGACUCCUACGGGAGGCAGCAGUGGGGAAUAUGGCACAAUGGGCGCAAGCCUGAUGCAGCCAUGCCGCGUGUGGGAAGAAGGCCUUCGGGUUGUAAAGCACUUUCAGCGGGGAGGCGUUACCCGCAGAAGAAGCACCGGCUAACGCCGUGCCAGCCGCCGCGGUAAUUC